rnacentral:tRNA from 1 species
UGGCUCAGUGAUUAAGAGCACUGGCUGAUAUUACAGAGGACCUGGGUUCGAUUCCCAG